AGGGCUGCAGCAGAGCGGUAUAAAGGUAGAGUUGUGACAAUGGGUUAAGGACAAUUCGUUAAGGUCACAUGGUUCAUGUAAACUUCAAAUAGUUCCCGGAAGUGAUUGACAAUGGAUUAGAAUGCAUUAAAUAGGCAACUGU